GCCGGGUGCAGUGGUGCGUGCCUGUAGUCCCAACUACUCGGGAGGCUGAGGUGGGAGGAUCGCUUGAGCCCAGGAGUUCUGGGCUGCAGUGUGCUAUGCCGAUCGGGUGUCUGCACUAAGUUCGGCAUCAAUAUGGUGACCUCUCGGGAGCGGGGGACCACCAGGUUGCCUAAGGAGGGUUGAACCGGCCCAGGUCGGAAACGGAGCACGUCAAAACUCCCUUGCUGAUCAGUAGUGGGAUCGUGCCUGUGAAUAGCCACUGCACUCUAGCCUGGGCAACAUAGCAAGACCCUGUCUCU
rnacentral:SRP_RNA from 1 species